rnacentral:ribozyme from 1 species
UUUAUUUAAUAUUCUGCUUGAUGUGCGUCCUUUUAGGCUAACACAGGCUCUCCUCCCUAACUCCUACUCAUUACGUCCACGGCGUGCCGAAUGGAAACAAGUAAAAUUUUUGCUUGGCUAAAAUGAGAGGG